rnacentral:tRNA from 1 species
GGAUAGUUGGCAGAGUGGCAAUGCAGCGGAUUGCUAAUCCGUAAACUGGCAACGGUUCACAGGUUCGAGUCCUGUACUAUCCGCCA